GAUAAAUACAAAUGAAUGUGGUGUUUCCAGUGCUUCCACCUCCAUUACUCUCUGAAAAACAGAAGCCAAAUGCAACUGACACAUAGAGUGCAGCUGGAUUUCUGAAUCGAAUCUUAUAUUGCAAGCGCACUGAAAUGACAGCUGAUGUAGAAAUGACACUUAAGCUACCUGCAACUCCUCGACUGAUACUCCUUGGUGAAACACCGGGAAGAUGUAUUCACCACUGGAUGAUCAGCCUUGAGGGGCACAUUUGUGAAGGCAUCCAUCCAACUUUUCUGUCUGGGCUUGCUGCUGCAUUUUCUACUUACUACACCUUAAAUCUUCAGUACCAAGAUUAUGCUGCAUGCACACUGGAAUUCAUUCAAAGCAGAACACAAAUUAAGACUUUGAGAAGAAAAUCCAAGCUCGGAGGGGCCUACAGUGCAAGUGAAUGGGUGCCAAAACCAUUAAGUUAAAAAACACAGAAAAUAAAUUCAAAUGACUCCAAUGAUUUAUUAAAUGUCUUCUGAAGCGAUCUAAUCCGUUUUGGGUGAGGACAGACCAAAAUGUAACUCCUUUUUUACUAUAAAUCUUGACAUAAGCAGUCUCCUUGGCGAUCAUGAUUUCAAGCUUGAUUAAACUUCCUAGUGCUAGACACAUGGGUAGAACCACUAGAUGGCUCAAGGAAGUGUAAUCAAGCUUGAAAUCGAUCAUGCCUGUAAACUGCAAUGGCAAGAUGUACAGUGAAAAAGAAGUUACAUUUUGGUCUCUUCUCAACUAAAACCAAUGAUAUCAUGUGAUGAUGAUGUGUGUAAGCACAUCAGAACCCUUAUUUCCUUCUAAAAAAAAAUCUUCAUUUGUUUUCUGAUGAUGAUAGAAAAUCAUACACAUCUGGCAUGGAGUUAAGGUGAGUAAAUGAUGAUUGGAUUUUUAUUUUUGGGUGAACUAUUCCUUUAAGAAAACUCUCCUGACACUAAUCAGGUCAAAGCAAACUACCACUUUAUAUUUAUAUAUUGAUUUACCAGUGACAAUGCAUAACUCCUAAAAAGAUGCUAAAAUGUAACAUUACCUACACCUACUGUAGUAAAGGGCAGUUUUCCUGAUACAAAAAUAGACUUUGCUAUAUUUAGAUCAUAUAAUUAUCUAAUUAUCCAUACUACUUAUGAACACACACACACACACACACACACACACACACACACACACACACACACACACACACACACACACACACGCUGUUUUAGUCAUUCAUUCAGCUACAUUCUCAGUUAUUUACAUUAUUUGUUAUAAUAUGUAUUUAUUAUUUAUAUGGCUGAAAUGUAAGUUUAUUUACCAGAAUAAGCUUUGGGCUUUGUUUUACCAAUUGCCUUCUAAUUUUGUACUGAUGUUUUGAGAAGACACUUUGAAGCUGUAUUAUUUGUGUUAAAAGUUUAAGUCAUAAUUUCAAAGGCUACAUUUAUACACUGUAUUAAAACACUGUAUUUUUAUAGCAAGACUAAAGAAUAAUUUAUUAAAUCACAAGGUUUUGAAAAAAAAGUAAACACAUUGUAGUCCUUUUUGCUAGCAGUCCAUUACUCAAUAGCUC